GUGGGGAAUAUUGGACAAUGGGCGCAAGCCUGAUCCAGCCAUGCCGCGUGAGUGAUGAAGGCCCUAGGGUUGUAAAGCUCUUUCACCGGUGAAGAUAAUGACGGUAACCGGAGAAGAAGCCCCGGCUAACUUCGUGCCAGCAGCCGCGGUAAUACGAAGGGGGCUAGCGUUGUUCGGAAUUACUGGGCGUAAAGCGCACGUAGGCGGACAUUUAAGUCAGGGGUGAAAUCCCGGGGCUCAACCCCGGAACUGCCUUUGAUACUGGGUGUCUGGAGUAUGGAAGAGGUAAGUGGAAUUCCGAGUGUAGAGGUGAAAUUCGUAGAUAUUCGGAGGAACACCAGUGGCGAAGGCGGCUUACUGGUCCAUUACUGACGCUGAGGUGCGAAAGCGUGGGGAGCAAACAGGAUUAGAAACCCUUGUAGCC
rnacentral:rRNA from 1 species